UACGAGGGGGGCAAGCGUUGUUCGGAAUUAUUGGGCGUAAAGGGCGCGUAGGCGGUGCGGUAAGUCACCUGUGAAACCUCUAGGCUCAACCUAGAGCCUGCAGGCGAAACUGCCGUGCUUGAGGGUGGGAGAGGUGCGUGGAAUUCCCGGUGUAGCGGUGAAAUGCGUAGAUAUUGGGAGGAACACCUGUGGCGAAAGCGGCGCACUGGACCACAUCUGACGCUGAGGCGCGAAAGCUAGGGGAGCAAACAGG
rnacentral:rRNA from 1 species